UACGGAGGGGGCUAGCGUUGUUCGGAAUUACUGGGCGUAAAGCGUACGUAGGCGGCUUUGUAAGUUAGAGGUGAAAGCCCGGAGCUCAACUCCGGAAUUGCCUUUAAGACUGCAUCGCUUGAAUCAUGGAGAGGUUAGUGGAAUUCCGAGUGUAGAGGUGAAAUUCGUAGAUAUUCGGAAGAACACCAGUGGCGAAGGCGACUAACUGGACAUGUAUUGACGCUGAGGUACGAAAGCGUGGGGAGCAAACAGG
rnacentral:rRNA from 1 species